UACGGAGGGUGCGAGCGUUGUCCGGAAUCACUGGGCGUAAAGCGCGCGCAGGCGGCGAUCUACGUCUGGGGUGAAAGCCCGGAGCUCAACUCCGGGACUGCCUUGGAUACGGGAUCGCUUGAGGAUUGGAGAGGCAAGGGGAAUUCCACGUGUAGCGGUGAAAUGCGUAGAUAUGUGGAGGAACACCUGUGGCGAAGGCGCCUUGCUGGCCAAUUUCUGACGCUGAGGCGCGAAAGCGUGGGGAGCAAACAGG
rnacentral:rRNA from 1 species